CAUGUGAAGAUUAAGGCAGAGAUCAGGGUGAUGCAGCAAAAGCCAAGGAACAUCAGACUGCCAGCAAACCACCAGAAGCUAGGAGAAAGGCAUGGAACAGAUUCUCAGCCCUCAGAAGGAACCAACGUGACUGACACCUUGAUCUCGGACUUCCAGCCUUCAGAACUGUGCGCAAACUGAAGUUCCUAGAUAGGAUUCGAACCUACAGUCUCCAGUAGCCAAAGCCCUGCCUCAGCAACCCCGAACUCCAACCCGGGAACCACAGCGCCUGCGCCGAACCAGCAGCCAAUGGCAGCCCGGAGCCCGAGGACCCAGCUCGCAGCCUAUACGUGAUUCCGGAAAACCUCGGUACCCUGGAAGAGCUUGGGGGACACAGGUUCGAGCCCUGGUCUGGGAAGAUCCCACAUACUGCGGAGCAACUAAGCCCAUGUGCCACAACUACUGAGCCUGCACUCUAGAGCCCACGAGCCACAACUACUGAGCCCACGUGCCACAACUACUGAAGCCCACAUGCUCUACAGCCCGUGCUCCGCAACAAGAGAAGCCACUGCAAUGAGAAGCCCAUGCACCGCAACAAAGAGUAGCCCCAGCUCGCUGCAACUAGAGAAAGCCUGCGCGCAGCAACGAAGACCCAACACAGCCUCCCCCCAAAAAAAGUAUAUGUGUACAUUCAAAAAUCCUAAAUACAGUAGAUUUCAGUGUCCUUGCUCUCCUAAUCUCAGUGGAGGUGUAAGACUAUACAAUGAAAUUAAAAAAAAAAAAGAAAGAAACAGUAAGAUAAACUCUGAAGAUAAGUGAGAAGCCCAGGUCACAGGCACUACAGACUUUCCAAGCAAUAGAUUAUAGAUGUUUCCCUUCCUCGGGCAUCCCCAAUGUGAACAAAAAGAGGCAGUCUGUGGGUCUUACGUGGUGAUUAAAAGUGAAGCACACAUUGUAGAGCCUGUCAUGCGUGUGGCUUACGUGUGUUAAAGGAUAAACUGAGGCACAUUUAAAUUUUCAGGAGUUUAUUUGAGCAAACACUGGAAUUGGGCAGUGCUUGGAAGUGGUUAGGAGUGCUCCACGACAGGAGCUCCAGGCAAGGCUUUUAUAGGGCAGAUGUAGAAGCAAAGAGAGAUUAUUUGAUUGGCUAGAGCUGAAGAGGGUGUUUAUUUGGGAAAACCCAGUUGGCUGUUUGUGAUUGGUUUUUCUUAAAUUUCGAUUUCUUGGAUACAAGUGCAUUGACUCUGGCUCAUGUUGGCUGCAAGGCAUCAGAGCCGCCUCAAUCUAAUGGGCUCCUUGUUUAACUACUUGAACAGGUGGUAUUUGAACUUUCCCUUCUUCAUCAGUGGUCCCCGAAUGCACACCUUCAGCAUCAUUCUCUCCCCAGUCUGGACCCCAGGAGAGUCCUCUCCCUAUUCUGUGACACCAUGAGUGUGCACACUACUGUGUGUGAGGCCAGAGGUGUCCCCACCCCAGUGUGUGACCCCAGGGGUAUCCAAACGCCAAUCUGUGUGACCACGGUUGUGUCCAAAUAUCAUUAUGUGUGACCCCAGGAGUGCCCACCCCCCAAGCUGUGUCACACUAGCAGUAUCCACACCCCAGUCCCAGUGAUCAUGAGUGUUCAAACCCCCAUAUGAGUGACCCCAGGAGUGUUGACUCCCCAAUGUGUGUAACUCCACGAAUGUCCAUUCCCCAAUAUGUGUGACCCCCAUGAGAGUCCAAACACCCAUGUGUGUGACCCCAGAGCCACCCACACCACAGCCUGUCACCUCAGCAGUGUCUGCUCCCCAGUCUAUACCGAGGAGUGUCCAUCAACUACUCUGUGUGACCGCAGCAGUGUCCACACCUCAGUCUCUAGCCCCAGGGGUGCCGACUCAUCAUUUCUUUGACCACAAGAAUGUCCACAUCCCUUUCACUGAGAUUAUAGUGGUGUCUACAACACAGCCUAUGUGACUGUAGGACUGUCCCCACGUCAGUCACUAUGACCCCAGGAGCGUCCCGUCCUCUGUGGAACACCAUGGAUAUUCAUACCCCAGUCUGUGCAACACAAGGAGUGUCCAGUCCACAACAUGUGUGAUUUCAGGAGUGUCCACUUCCCAGUGUGUUUAACUUCCAGAGUGUCCCAAACUCCCUCUGUGUGACCCUGGGAAUGUUUACUCUCCAGCAUGUGUGACCCUUGGAGUGUUCACGCCUCUGAGUGACCUCACAUCUGUCUACACUCCAGCCUGAGUGACUCCAGGAGUGUCCAAACCCCCAUCUUUGUGGCCCCACAUCUGUCCACACCCACUCUAUGUGACCUCACUGCUGCCCACA